CUCUUCGAGCGAGACCGUGACCUUGUUCCAUGCUCAGAUCUAUCCUUGGAUGGUGAAAUAGAUCGAGACCGAGACCUACGCUUAUGCCUUUCCUCUCGAUCAUAAUCCCUUCUUCUGUAAUAUAAACUAGUUUUUUAAGGAAAACUGAAAAUGAACAAAAACAACAAUUCCAAAAGAAACAAGAUUACUAAAAAUUCAUGACCGGGCAAAAAUAAAUUAGGCAUCAAUAUUGCAAAUCAUAUAUGAGCUUUUAACCUGUCGCGGUCACGGUCACGACUUCUGUGAGAAUCACCAUCAUCCCUAUCUCUACCCCUUUCCCUAUCUUUUCUGUCACGAUGUCGAUGAUCUCUGUGGUGAUCCCUUUCCUUCUCCCCAUCACCACGAUCUCUCUCUCUGUCUCUAUCUCUAUCUCUGGGCCGAUCCUUUUCU
rnacentral:lncRNA from 1 species